ensembl:snoRNA
AUCUGUUUGUAGUCAUAAUUGUGAUCGUUGAGUUUUCAUGUGUGAGAUGUGUGUCACUCAAGCCUUUUUACAAUGUCCGUAUAUUGCCAGGUGUGGUG